GCCUCUGUGGUGCAACGGCAGCACGCCGUAACGCGGUCCAUCACCACCUUGCCCUCACGGGCCGACGACGGAUCGUUACCGCUUACCACGCCGGAGAUCCAGGUUCGACUCCUGGCAGAGGCU
rnacentral:tRNA from 1 species